GUCCAUGGCCAUGCCACCCUGAACAAGCCCGAUGUCUGAUCUUGGAAGCUAAGCAGAGUCGGGCCUGGUUAGUACUUGGAUGAGAGACCACCUAGGAAGACUAGGUGCUAUAGGCG
rnacentral:rRNA from 1 species